rnacentral:rRNA from 1 species
AUUGAACGCUGGCGGCAGGCUUAACACAUGCAAGUCGAGCGGAGAUGAGGUGCUUGCACCUUAUCUUAGCGGCGGACGGGUGAGUAAUGCUUAGGAAUCUGCCUAUUAGUGGGGGACAACAUUCCGAAAGGGAUGCUAAUACCGCAUACGUCCUACGGGAGAAAGCAGGGGAUCUUCGGACCUUGCGCUAAUAGAUGAGCCUAAGUCGGAUUAGCUAGUUGGUGGGGUAAAGGCCUACCAAGGCGACGAUCUGUAGCGGGUCUGAGAGGAUGAUCCGCCACACUGGGACUGAGAAACGGCCCAGACUCCUACGGGAGGCAGCAGUGGGGAAUAUUGGACAAUGGGGGGAACCCUGAUCCAGCCAUGCCGCGUGUGUGAAGAAGGCCUUAUGGUUGUAAAGCACUUUAAGCGAGGAGGAGGCUACUGAGACUAAUACUCUUGGAUAGUGGACGUUACUCGCAGAAUAAGCACCGGCUAACUCUGUGCCAGCAGCCGCCGUAA